GCUCCACAAGGACCGGCCAUCCAUGCAGCGGGGCGUGGGGUGUCUGCCUGCUCCUGAGGGAGAAGUGCCCCAGAUAAAAGGGGCCACUCCUGUCUGAGGACCUCCCACCUGAAGGGAGACCAGGUUGUGGCAGCCAUGUGCCCAGGAAGGGAGUCCUGCUAACCAACGCAGCAGGACGGAAACGGCCUCAGGUCACCGCCGGAAGGUUGCCCGGAGGUGGUGGAGCAAUCCAGGUGGACAUGAUGCCACCCCCAUCAGGGUCCCAAGAGGAGUCCGACGUGGAAAAGGAGGCAGAACUUGCACAUGAUUCUUGAUUCCUGAGCCUGUUACCCACAGCUGCAGCAGGAGCCUGUCACAGCAGCAGUGCCGGAAUCCCAUACCUGACCUCCGUCUCUGCACCUGGAGGAAGAGACAAGAUAAAGGACAGGAUCUUGGGACUGUGCAGACAUGUGGGCCUGCAGAUAACGCUCCAUGAACACUCUGGCUGUUUACAAACCUGCUGACACAGUCUGGGAGCAGUUGCACGGUUCUGAGCAAGGUGCAGGCUUCAGUUCUUCAUCUGCAAGCAGGGAGCUGGAGAGAGGAAGAGACAAGACCCUCAUAGGAGCGUGGAGAUGUGACCCAGAGCACCAGCGUCCCCUCUGUGAAGCGGACACAGCAGCAGUGGGGGAAAAAAGUAAACUUUCUCCACACACAAAGGGUGUCCAAUUGACAGAAGUUUAUAUAUGAAGGACGUCCUUCUGUUGCUGAAAAUUCCUCAGUGUGCUUGUGCUGGCUGAAGGCAGCCCCAGCAGGAUGCUGCGGUGAAACUUUGAAGUGAACUCUCGUGCCUGGGACCAGCCCAGCAUGGACCAGGAGGCAUGUUGGAGAGGAAUCAGCCCUCCCUGCCCCCACCUGGCAGUUGUACCUGGCUCAGGAACGUUUGAAAACAAGUUGCCAAGUCCCCUGUUCCUGAUUCCCAGCCCCAAUCCCAGGCCAAGAAAUGUUUACCAGAAGGAUUGGGACCACGCCAUGUGCCUGGGGAUACCACGAGUCCCUGCUGCCUGGUGAUCCUGAUGCGUCCUGCUCACUAGACUGCCGGUUGCCAAGGUAAUAUUUUGUUGAGGAUUUUCACAUCAAUAUUCAUCAAAGAUAUUGGCCUGUGAUUUGUUUUUAUAGUGUCUUUGUCUGUUUCUGGUAUCAGGGUGAUAAUGGCUUCACAGAAUGACUUUGGGUCUGUUUCCUCCUCUUCCAUCUUUUGGAAGAGUUUGAGAAAGACUGGCAUAAGUUCUUCUUUGUAUGUUUGGUAGAAUUCCCCAGUGAAGCCGUCCAGUACUGGAUUUUUGUUUGCAGGGAGUUUUUUCGUUUUGUUUUGUUUUGUUUUGUUUUUUUUACAGGUUCUAUUUCACUUCUAGUGACUGGUCUGUUCAAAUUAUGUUUCUUCUUGACUCAAUUUUGGCAGGCUGUAUAUUUCUAGAAACUUGUCCAUUUCCGCUAGGUUAUCCAAUUUGUUGUCAUGUAACUGUUCAUAGUAUUCUAGUAUUUUUUUUUUUUUUUUGUAUUUCUGUGGUAUCAGUAGUUAUUUCUCCCCUUUCAUUUCCUAUUUUGUU